rnacentral:rRNA from 1 species
AAUAUUUGACAAUGGGGGCAACCCUGAUCCAGCCAUGCCGCGUGUGUGAAGAAGGGCUUCGGAUUGUAAAACACUCUAAGGUGGGAGGAAGGGCUUUAGGUUAAUACCCUGAAGUUUUGACGUUACCAACAGAAUCAGCACCGGCUUACUCUGUGCCAGCAGCCGCGGUAAUACAGAGGGUGCAAGCGUUAAUCGGAAUUACUGGGCGUAAAGAGCGCGUAGGUGGUUCAGUAAGAUGGGUGUGAAAACCCCGGGCGUAACCUGGGAACUGCUUUCAUAACUGCUGAGCUAGAGUACGGUAGAGGGUAGUGGAAUUUCCUGUGUAGCGGUGAAAUGCGUAGAUAUAGGAAGGAACACCAGUGGCGAAGGCGACUACCUGGACUGAUACUGACACUGAGGUGCGAAAGCGUGGGGAGCAAAC